rnacentral:rRNA from 1 species
UGAAAUCUCGGGGCUCAACCUCGAAACUGCGUCUGAAACUGCAGGUCUAGAAUCUUGGAGGGGGAAGGGGAAUUUCGCAUGUAGGGGUAAAAUCCGUAGAUAUGCGAAGGAACACCAGAGGCGAAGGCGCCUUCCUGGACAAGUAUUGACGCUGAGGCGCGAAAGCGUGGGGAUCAAACAGGAUUAGAUACCCUGGUAGUCCACGCUGUAAACGAUGAAUACUAGAUAUUGCAGGAUUUGACCCCUGCAGUGUCGUAGCUAACGCGUUAAG